GGGACCUGUCUUUUUUGCCUGGCCAGUGCAGUCAGAGAAGAGCAGCAAAGGAACAGAAAAGAUCCUCUGCAGCCUCGGGAGAGCUGUUAAUGCGAGUGGUGUGUUUCCAGGUCUGCUCGGGAAACCGUCAGAUCCUCUCCUCUGAAGAGAUCAUCGUUGAAGAACAGCUUGAGAUAAGCACGACGAACCAGAAGAACACAGAGAGAUCCCGAUGGCUGUCAGAUCAAGCAGUAGCAGUUGGCCUAAAAAAGAAACCAAACCACCUCCCAGCCACAGCCGCUUACCAUGGCUGACACUGGCGAGCCUUGGAGCACUGGUGACCUCCAGUAGAUGGCAGCCAGCAAAAACCUGGUUGGACCUGCAGAGAUCUAGCACAAUGAAAAGGGCUGGCACUUCGGAUUGCAACAUUACUGAAACGAAAAGCGUGAACACUACAGGAAUUUCUGCUCUAUGGAAAAAUGUUAUUUUUGGAUUCUUCGGGAAGGCAUGCAUAUAAAACCACCUGGUUCCCUGAGAAAAAGAACUGGAGCCCAAGGAGCUCGAAAAUUGGAGAUUUUCAUCAUGCUGUGCCCUGCUGUUGCCUUCGACUGUUCCUCGCCGUGUCCCCUCCCUGCUGUCGCCCCAUCCUGGCCGCAUUUUGGCUCUCGGAGGAGGUGAGUGCCGGGGCCCUCGUGGGCCACCCACGGUCCUCCGGGCCCACAAGGAUUUGGCUUUAUAUAGCACCUGGGAGAUGCAUGUCAGAUAACGCUGGCAGGCUUUCAAAACCUUCUCUGCAGCUUUUGUGCCAAGACCUAUAGGACGCGUUCCAGAGCAUCUCGCAGGAAUGUUUGUUAUUAUGGCAGGCCAAGAAAAAAAAGAGGGGGGAAAAGAGGCAGUGCGGGAGCACAUCGCUGUUAAUUACCAAAAAUCCUUUAAUAACCCACAUUACUAUAAAUGAUGUGUGCAUUACGGGGAGGACAAUUGAGGGCUCUGUUUUUCUUGCCCCACGUUGGGGCGUGGAACAAUGCCCCCUUGUUGCCCAGCCCGAGGUGGUGGCACUCCUGGUGAAAUUGGGGUUUCUCCAUCCCGUACCUGUGCCCGCUGUGAAAACCCCAUUGUUCGUCGCCCGGGGACAGGCAGGGGCCGUCACGCGACCUUAUCUCCACACAAAGCCCAUCAGGACAUUUCUGAGGAGGUUUUAAGGUUUCCAUAAGAAAUUGGAUUCAUUAACCCAAAGCUGUGCGGGUGCAGCCGGGGCUCCGCAGGUGCUGCCCAAAAAUGCUGAUCAGGAACCUGCCCAAACCGGGAUUUACAAUAUCUUGGUUGACAAAUUUUGUUCAUUUCUUUCUUUUUUGUUGCUUCCUGGAGUUUUCCAGGUGCUGUGAGGCCGGGCCGCCAGGUGAAGGUGCCCCACUGCCCUUUGGGGGCACCUUCCUGGGGCUGCUGCGGGGCCAUCACCGCAUCCCAACUGCUCGAUAACCUCAAUAAAUCACAGGAUAUCCACAGGAUAUUCCCCAUAAACCAUGGCAUAAAGGUGCGGGGGGAUUUGUAUUUUAUUUUAUUUUAUUUUAUUUUAUUUUAUUUUAUUUAUUAUUUUAUUUUCUUUUAUUAUUUUUUU